CCCGCUGAACUUAAGCAUAUCACUAAGCGGAGGAAAAGAAAUUAACUAAGAUUGCCUCAGUAACGGCGAGUGAAGCGGCAAAGCCCAAACUGGAAAUCCCCGUACAUCCGUGCGGUGAAUUGUAAUCUAGAGGACUUAAUCUCAACUGGACGCGACGCAGAACUUCCCAGGAAUGGGGGGCCAGAGAGGGUGACAGCCCCGUAUGUGGUGUCGCUUCCUAACGAGAUGGGUUCCAGGAGUCGGGUUGUUUUGAAUUGCAGCCCUAAUGUGGGGGAUAGACUUCCUCCAAGGCUAAAUAUUUACGGGAAACCGAUAGCGAACAAGUACUGUGAAGGAAAGAUGAAAAGAACUUUGAAAAGAGAGUUAGAAGACUUGAAAUCGUUGAGAAGGAAGCGGUAGAAAUUUAUUCUUCUGGUGUUAACAAAGUGUUCUCCAUUCGUAUUGUGGCCUCCCAGUACGUCAAAGGCUGGUGGCACCACGUGCGGUUGAGAUUGCGGCGUUUGCACCAGUGAGGCAAGAUGGGGUUCCGCUCCCACAUAAGCUGCUCGAGCCUGGCUUCACCGCAGUUCGGGUGUGUUAGUGGGCGCGGUGCCUGAGGAUGCCUUGUGCGAUCUUGCCAAAAUGGUUUUUACCGACCCGUCUUGAAACACGG
rnacentral:rRNA from 1 species